rnacentral:rRNA from 1 species
UGGGGAAUAUUGCACAAUGGGCGCAAGCCUGAUGCAGCCAUGCCGCGUGUGUGAAGAAGGCCUUCGGGUUGUAAAGUACUUUCAGUCGGGAGGAAGGUGGUAAGGUUAAUAACCUUGGCAAUUGACGUUACCGACAGAAGAAGCACCGGCUAACUCCGUGCCAGCAGCCGCGGUAAUACGGAGGGUGCAAGCGUUAAUCGGAAUUACUGGGCGUAAAGCGCACGCAGGCGGUUGAUUGAGUCAGAUGUGAAAUCCCCGGGCUUAACCCGGGAAUUGCAUCUGAUACUGGUCAGCUAGAGUCUUGUAGAGGGGGGUAGAAUUCCAUGUGUGGCGGUGAAAUGCGUAGGGAUGUGGAGGAAUACCGGUGGCGAAGGCGGCCCCCUGGACAAAGACUGACGCUCAGGUGCGAAAGCGUGGGGGGCAAACAGG